rnacentral:rRNA from 1 species
UACGGGGGGGGCAAGCGUUGUUCGGAAUUACUGGGCGUAAGGGCUCGUAGGCGGCCAACUAAGUCAGACGUGAAAUCCCUCGGCUUAACCGGGGAACUGCAUCUGAUACUGGAUGGCUUGAGUUCGGGAGAGGGAUGCGGAAUUCCAGGUGUAGCGGUGAAAUGCGUAGAUAUCUGGAGGAACACCGGUGGCGAAGGCGGCAUCCUGGACCGACACUGACGCUGAGGAGCGAAAGCCAGGGGAGCAAACGGG